GUUCGUGAUUGGUCGAAAGCAGCCUGUCGUCGCAGUGACGUCACCGGGGCCGGGUGGGAGGAUGAGACGUAGAGAAAAAAACACGGAGUCGGAGAGGAGGUGAGAGGAGACCACCGGAGGAUGAGUGAGGGGACAGCGUGCUGCAUCCUCACUCACGAGCUCGGACUAAAGGAGGAGACACGCGAAGACCAUCCCGCUAAUACACACCAGCGCGAGAGCCGGGGAGAAACACUCUCGUGGACACGGAUACAAACACACGUUUCAACAAGGAUACAACACGGCACCCCGCGGACACCCGGGCUCGAGGGGGACGCUGUGGGAUUUAUCGAUACGAUCCACGCGCUCACCUGUUUGUCAUGCACGUGUCCUCGUGCAUAUGUGGAGCCUGAGUGAAGCUGCAGAGUGUUCUUGAACGUGGAUGCUUUCAGUCUCCAUGGGUACAGGAGGCGUGUUACACCAUGUCAAAGUGAGUUUUCUGUCUCUCUUUUUUUUCUUCUUCUUCUUUUUUUAUUUACAUCAUCUCCAGACGUGUUGAAUAAAGUACAUCUCACUAUUUCAGCCUGGUGAUGCACGAGUUUAAUGUUUAAAAAUAUAGGGGUAUUUUUUUUGAUCAAUUCAUCUUUACAUUCAAGUCUGAUGUUAAGACGAGGUUCAUUAUCAGAGUCACAAUUUAUUACACCGAUCACAUGGGCUAUUCUGCAUAAUUUCUCAUAGUAAAAAUGCACAUGAAUAAAAACAUCAGCUUUAAUUGAACAAAGUCAGGGUUAGGUGAGUUUACACACAUAAAGCUGGAGCAUAAACAGGCCUUUUUACACAGCUGCAACAAGAGCCCUUUCAUUUACACUUCACACCUUUGGUAACAAAAAAGCUGUAGUCUAAUUGAUGUUCUCCUCUUUCAAAAGAAAACUAAACCAAAAAACUUUAAAAUCUUCUCUCUAAUAAAUGUUUGUUUCAUUUAAAGGCAUUAAAAUGACAUUAAAUCUGUGUGAGAAUUUUCUCCCACAUACAAAGAAAGUGACGCACGCCUCAUAUUCCCCAAUUAAAACAACUGACGUCAGACGCACUGUCAGAGAAAAGCGUGAGUUCAUCAUUAGGUUAUCACAAGUUUACAGAUUAUAAUUGGCUGAAAAAAUGCAGGUUAAAACUGGACAUUAUUGUAUUUUCUCAAUUCUUUCAAAAUGAUGUGAAAUAGCUGUACAUGUAAUAGAAGACAGAGCCUUUAGGACUGCUCACCUUAGAGAAUUAUAAAACUAUAUGAAGAAUAUAAGUGAAGCAUUGUGUAACUAUCUUAAAACAGAAGAUGUAAGACUGCAUAAACCCUCAAAUGGCCACAUUGGAAAAGAUCUACUUUCAUGAUGAGAACAAUUAUCAUUCUGCUAAAAUAACUUGUGGAGCUAAUUUAAUGUCAAAGGUGUCUAAAGCAAAGCAGGAGGAGGUAUCUUUAGAAAGAUGGUGAUUUCUUUAACAAAAAAAAAGUAUGGGAAGAGGAACAGACAUUUAUUUUAAAAAAAUUGAAUAUUGUCUAGACUACAUGUUGUAUCUAAUAUUUAAAAGUUCAGUACUGUCAAACAGGGAUUUAAAGUUCAAUGAUAGGAGGUGAAACACUUCUUAAUAGGCUCAUACAGUUCAGGCUGAACUCCAUACAGACUUGUUCAUUUAGUGAGGUAGGAUUAAAGCUUACUGCACAUGUCCAAAAUUGUCAGUCACAUUCACAAUGUUGCAUAUUAUUUAAUUUUGAAAAACACACAAUAGAAAACACUUUUUCUUGUUCUUCAAAUUUUCUCACAGGUAUGAUACAAAAAUACAAAUGUAAUUCUGAAUGUGAAAUCUGUUAAAGGCUUAGAUUCAUAGAUAUAAUGUUGUUUACUCACAGGAAUCUACAGACUUACAUUUGACUGUGACAGUAAAGAGUGGAGCCUGUUCCUGUCUUUGGUUAUCUAGCUGUAUGAGUGUUAAUCAUCCAUCAUAAAGCUAGAUAACCGAAAGUAGGAAUGCACUCCAAACUCUCUGAUUCCUUCAAGGAAGAGGCAGACACCAGAGGAUGGCACAUCUUAACAGGUGGGUUACAGACAUUUUUUAUUUUAUCUUUUUAUUAUUGUCAAUUUCUUUUUUUAAAUGUUAAAGUAUAAGAAAGUAUAAGUUAUUGUCCCAGCACUAGUAAUCAGUGGAUUUAUGGCGAAGAAAAAGUAAUAGCUCCCUAUUUUACCAGUCUCAGCUUCAUGUAUCUUAAAAUGUUCUUUUGUGAAAAUAAAUUACACAUCUUUGUAUUUAGUCCAUUGUUCAGACAUGAUAAGAAGUUUAAGCAAUGUAUUUGGGUAUUGAACAAUGUUUUUUAUUUUUUUUAAACAAAUGUUAUCGCAUAUUACUGAAAAUAACUUUUGGUUUCCUCUCUAGUCACAAAAAAGAUAUAGACAACUGUGCACCAAAACAGUUUUUAUGUCUUUAUUAUUUUAGCAUCUUUGUGUAUUAAAAAUGCUUUGAAAAUAUCACCCGAGAUGAGGUGUAUACAUCAAUAUCUCAUUCAGUUUCCACUUCUCAAAUACCUAAUGGUGUUUUUUACGCACACACACACACACACACACACACACAGUAAUACUCACUGUUUUGUGUAUCGUUUCCAUGGGAUUAACUUUGUUUUGUCAUCAAUCAAUGACCUCAGGUAACAAGGCAAGACAUGUUUAUUUGUAAGUACAUUUUGACACUAAAGCAAUUCACAGUGCCUCGCACAAGACAUGAAAAAAUGGCUGAGGUUCAUUCACAACAGAAGACAUUUAAAAGUAAUGAAAAUACUUAGAAAAUCAAAGCAAUAAUGACAUUUAAAACAUCAAAAACAUAAGGUUAUAGCACAUGAAAGUUUCUAAUACAAGCCUAAAAGUUAUGGUACAUGCUGUUAAAUGAAAUAGGCAUUAUAAUGAUUUAACAAAUAAUUGAGUAAAAGAGCUACAAAAAGGUGAGUCUUUAUCCUGGAUUAAAAAAAAAAAAAAACUGUUUCAGCAAAUCUUACAUUUUCUGGAGGUUUGUUUCAGAUGUCUGGAGCAUAAAAAAUGAAAACUGCACCUUCACAUUUGGUUCUAACUCUUUGGAUUAGUCCAAGAAGACCUGAGUUUGCUAGAUGGUUUGAAGUGAAUGAGGAAAUUGCUUUAAAUCAUUUACUGCUUAACACACCAGCAGCAGUGUUUUAAAAUCUGAUCUUUGACAACCAGGCAGCCGUGGUUAAGACGUCUGAAGUGGAUUGAUGUGAUCUGCUCCUCUUGGUUUUAGUGAGGACUUGAGCAGCAGAGUUCUGAAUUCACUGAGAUAAGCUGUGAGGGUGAUCAUGUCAAAUGAAGAUGAAUACAUGGACCUGUUAUUCUAAGUCCUGCUGGGACCUAAGUUAUGAAAGUUUAAAAAAAGAUGCUUUCUUUUUUAGGGAGUUUUUUAUUUUGCUCCAAAGUCGUAGUUCAGUGUAGUUGCCUCAUCACUGUAAAAUCUGUCAAACAAACCUGAACCCAUUAGAAACAGAACAAAAUUAACUGUUUUUCAGUUUUUCUGAAUGAUUGAGAUGAUACAAUUUUAAUCUGCAGAACACCUACCUGAGCUGAAUCAAAAAACACCACCAUGAGGUCAUUAGAUCCUAAUUUUUUUAGAUAAUUGAUUCAAAGGAGAUUUUACUUUUCUAUUGUAGAAAAAAAAAACAGUUAUAAUUUUCUCUAUUUUUGCAUAACUGUUACUUUUGUCUUGUUAUUAUGCUCCACUGGAUUCUACAUGACCUCUUCUUUUUCUGUAGGUUUUAACACAUCCAUAAAACACAUCAUUUUAAUUUGGAUUACACAAAGGCUUUUUAGUGACAUUUAAAGCAUACUGUAACCUGUUAUUUUACAGAGGUUAAAAUACAAAAUGAAAAUGUUAAUAAUGGUGAUGAAAAAUCCUGUUAUAUAUUUUCCUCAGAUCUAACCUGCAUUUUACAUCCUGUGUUUACUCAGACAGAGAGGCCUUUUCUUAACUCAUAUCAGUCUGAUCAGGUUGGAGCUCAGUCUUCUUCUUCUCUGUCUAAGCAUCAUGUUGUCUCUAUGGAGGCCAUCUUGGCUGAGUCUCCUGCUGCUUGGUUGUAAAAUGGUUGUUGGCACAAAGCAGCCGUAUUAAUUGCUCGAUCGUUAGCGUUCUGCCUGACUGUAAUCAGUCAGUCUUUUAGCCGCUCUGUCCUGUCUAAUGUCUGAUCUCACAUCUUCUCCUAGCUUAUCGUAAAGGUCAUAUUACUGUCAUCUUUACAGGUCAAUCAGCCAGGCAGUGUAUAUACAGUUUAUGACAACUUUACAUUAAGCAAUGGAUGAAUAUAAGUGAUUCACGUAAAGAUGAUCCAAGGACAUUUGGAAAGAUAAAAGCAGCUGAACACCCCUGAGAGUCCACUGAUCUCACAUCAGCCAGUCUAAUGAGCUGCUCGAGGUCAUGCAAACAUUGGCAGACGAUCUCUAAAUCAUGAAGCCUUAAUAACCAAAGUUAGAUCUAAAAUUCAAAUGGUUUUUGACAUGACAGACUAAUAACUUCAAUAAACAAUAAAGUGAUCAAUAAUUAAUGUGUGUACAUGAACAGUAUGCAUUUAAAAAAAGAUUAGACAUUUAUUUGCAGUCUGAGGUGAAUAAAAGACUAAAACCACUAAUGUUACACAUCUAUUAUAUGUGAAAACAGCAUGAAAGGGUAAUCCAGAAAACUUGAAGGAAAUAAAGACAUAGAAAUAAAAAAAGAGUAAAUAAAGAAAUACCUCUCUAUGCCUUUAAAUACAUUUCUUGUUAAUUUUUUAUUUAAAAAUUAACUUUUUUACUAACUGAAUAGUGAAAGCUGGGAUUGUUUUCUCAUUGUCUUAAUCUCUACUUCUGUGUUAAUUUUCUUUCACCAAAAAAAGUCGUGUGUGUGUGUGUGUGUGUGUGUGUGUGUGUGUGUGUGUGUAAACCUGAUUUGACAGUAACUUACAGCAUUAUCAAUAUACACUUACAAAAACGCCAUUAAAUAUAUAUUUUUAUUCAGCCUGUUUUACGACAUUUUCUAUAGUUUUUCUUUAAAAUGUGUGUUUAUUUACUUAAAUACAUCUUAGAUAAAUAAGCCUUGUCAGGCCCUAAAUAUGGUCCUUUUAGGAAAUCUACUUUGAUGACUUAUAUUUAUUUUGAGUUUAGAGUUAAUGACCAAUACUUGGCCAUCAAUUAAACUUAUUGUAAUUGAUCAUUGAUGUGCUGUAGGCCUAAUAACACAUGAAUCAAAUUUACCUGUAGCAAAUAUGAGAGAAAAUCUGUAUUUUUUUCCAUUUUCAUACAUUAUCAGAUAAAAGAGAAAACGAAGAAAUACGAUGUCAGUCAUUUAGGCCUCAGUCUGCAAAACAAGCCCAGUAUUUCUGUAAAAGACCCAUCUCUUGAAGAGGAAAAAAUGAAGAGAAACCCGUCUCUAAUAAGUAAUUAAAUCAAUUACAACUCCUCUUUGAGUCCUCUCAUAUUUUGUAAAUAGGCUACAUACAGUAUGUGCUGAUGAUAUGAGAACUAAAGUCUGAAAUGUUUCAGGUGGAUUUACAGUUCAUCACGGAAAUAAAACUAAUUCGGCCUGUGGUACGAUCGCUUUAUGUGUAGGCCUCCAGUUUGUCGAUAAUGUACUCACAGACGGAGCGAAGUGUUUUCUCCGCAGUGUAGACGGAAACAACAAACAAAAAAACGCUGCUUACAAAAUCAAAGUCUCUCUAUCCAAAAGUCAGCACCUGUCUUUUCGUGUUUCUGCCCGCCAUCAUCACUGUGGGAGAGAGAGAGAGAGAGAGAGAGAGAGGGAAAAGCCCGAGUGUCGGUGUAAAGAUGUAAAAUAAAGGAAACGAUCAGAGAAGUGCAGCAGUAAUGAAUAGAGGCAGACAGGCUGCAUAUUAACAUAAUUGCAUAGAAACGAGCAGCAGCAGCAGAGAGGAUUUAAAGGCGCAGCAGCACCAAGAAGCUCAUCGGCCAGUUAGCAGAAUAAUCAAGUGGACUCAUAAUCAGAAAGAGGAUGCAGAAUGUGUACACUUUCAUUUCAUCUCCUUUUACUGUUGUAUUAAUUUUAUUUUCGUAAACUGUGUUUUUCCAUCAUGGUUCUGUAUGUAGAACCUGUUCCUGCAGUUUUCGAAAUGAUGCCCUUUAGGCCAUUAAAAUACUAAAAUGACGGGAUCUGUAUGUGGAUAUAUGAAUCCCAUAAUUCUUCCUAUAAUAACCAGCAGUGUAAGGCAGAGUUUAGUCCAGUCCCACUCAACCUGUCCUGAGAGAAUUUCUAACCUGGCCCCCUGAAGUUAUUUACGAUUUUUCCUCAAAACUUUCUUUUGUGUUCAUUUAUUAUGGAAAAUCCAUUUAAAGGAAUUUCUGUAAAUUAGAUUGUGUUUUGUGAAAUUGUUUCAAUAGUAAUAUGUUUUUUAUUCUUUUUCGUUUUUGUAAAGAUAGCCACUUUUAUAUGAAAAACAUUCACACAUACAUGUUUUAAUUGAAAAUCAAAAUCCUCCCCAUCAAGUGACUUAUACCUUUAAUAUUUCCCUGGGAACUGGCCCAUGUUACUCUCAUUUCUUCGAGUGGUUUGCCCGAUUCAUUGCCAUCCUAAUGUAAGAUUAUACAACAUCAUAUUCGCACAAAGCAAUUUUAAUUGACACAGAGUCAAAUCAAUCAAAGCAGGCAGAAUAAACUGCACGCUGAAUUAAAUCCUUGCUGUGUUAACAAAAGGAUUUUCCUUUUUUUUUGUUUUAUUUUUGCCAUUUUUGCACGCAUAUAUACUGGUUUUGAAUGCUAAGCGUCUGGCCUCAGAAAAUAAAAGGGGAGCUGUCCCUUUAUUAAACACAGGCUGUAAUUACACAAUCAGUUGGGGGUGGGGCAGGUGUGAGGCUGCUGAUGACAUGAGCUCAUACAGGAAAAUACAGUAUCCCAGGAACACAGAAUACCUGUGAAAAUCUGCUUUAUAACCAGUUCAAAAACGGAGUACAUCCAUUUAACUCUUUUUCCUUUUUUGUGAGAAACAUUUGCUCUUUUAUUUUUUUAUUAUCAUUAUUGUUAGACAGGAGAGUUUGAACGAGAGACAGCAAAUGUUAGUGUGCGUGUGUGUGAGUGGAGGGGGGUGUCUAAGAGGUGAUGGAUUUUGUCGUACAGUGUCCAACAAACUGAGGCAGAUGGAAACUGUAAUUUUUUUCCCACAUAACUUAAGAAACUCCUCAACUGCUUCAAGAAUAGACCGGCCUUUUAUUCGCAACCCAUUUAACAAGCAGAUAAAGGACACACACAGUGACCUGCAGCUGAAAUGCACCUGCACACAUGCAGAGCCCGGUGCAGAGAAUCAGUGGUUGUACGCUGCUGCUGCGGGUUGAUGCAUUGCUCUCCAGCAGCAGCAGCAGGAAAGUCUGUUAGUAAACAUGGGUCCAAAUUAUCAUUCUGAUCCUGGAUUCACUCCACAAUGGCGGCUUUGUGAAAGGAGCACUUGACAAAGGUCCACCACCUCUCUUUUCCCAGCUCCAAGUGUGUGUGUGUGACCAUGUGUGUGUGUGUGUGAGAGAGGGGGCUGCAGUGAACCUCUGAGGGCUGUGGGAUAGGAACGUCGCGCACACACCAGACAUAGGCAGAUGCAAAUUUAAGUCUGCAGCCAUGAGAGUGUCUCCUGGAAAAGUUGUUCCUUUGUCUCUCUGCCUCUUUAUGCCUGGGGUGGGGGGGUGAUCCUCUCACAGUUAGUGUGUGAAGAGUGUGUGGUCUCACACUGCAGCCGCUGUGUCACAUAUGAAUUCUCCUUGGUGCUUUUAGUGAGAGCGUAAUGCUAAUGACCAAUUCUGUUAUUUUGAAAGAUGUAUCGGUAUUACUCUGUUAUUGUAUGAAAGAAAAAAAAUCCAAAAGCCACAGCAGAGGGCACAUUUGUUUAGGGAUGGACGUGAUUUUCUGAAUUAAAGUUGUUCAGUUUCCAAUUUUUUAGUCACCAAAAUCCAAAAAUAUCUCUUAAUAUUCAUGCUAAUUUAAUCUUUAAGCAAUGUAAAGUAGGAAGAUGACCUGUAACCCUCUUUUAAUAAAGUAUCAUAGACGAUAAGAUCCUGUUUCACUGAUCGAGCUCAACUAAAUCAAAUGUUUGUUAAUGAGUUUCUUUACUUGAUCUGCACCACUCCCACACACUUUAAGUUUCACAGAUUCACAGAUAAACUAAGAUAUAACUCCAAAAUCAGACUGAGAUCUACUGGCAUAAUCCAAACAGCCUCGUAUCUCAGACUCAGACCCUGUGUGGACCUGCAGGCCUCAUGAAGGUGGAUCAUUGUGCGUUUCUCUUCAGCCCCACAGCUGCCAUCCCGUCUUAAUCUGGGGAUACAUGCGAUUAUCCUGCCACGGCUUGUAACAGCGACAGGGGACCUUUCACAGGUCCUUUUUCCCCAUGGUCCACUGAGUCAGAGCGGCUGAGACCCCUGAUAUGUCCCAGUCGCCUUUAGGGGCUUUAGGCUGCGGCAGACAGGGACGUCACAAACAGACAUCGAGGCAGAGAGAUGGAUUGAACCUGAUGUAAACUACUCAACCACUGUGUGGCAUCAUAAAUGGACAAGAAAUAAUGAAAUGAAGGUGAAUUUUCUCUUAUAAACUCAGAAUCAAAUCCAUCAGUCUGAUGUUACUCACAAAUGUAUGAAGAAUUAAAGAGUAUCAAUGUGAACCUCAAUGCCAGAUCACUGAGGAGUUGAUUUCCAUUCUCUCCCGCCACUCGUUCAGACUGUCAGUCAAGUUCAAGUUCACAGGGGUGGAAGUGUCUCGACUGCCCAUUCAUGCCAGCCGUUCCUCCCCCAAAACGCCCCCCUCUCUCCCUUGUGCAGAGGUCUGACUGCAUGGCGUUCCUAUGACAGAAGGGUUUUGGCGUUGUUAUGGUGACAGGCAGGACGGCCCGGGUAUGUGCUGCUCAAAAGGACAAACUGUCAGGAGGAGAGAGAGAGACAGACAGAGAGAGAGAGAGAGAGAGAGAGAGAGAGAGAGAGAGAGAGAGAGGAGAUUCAGGUCCCCCCAACAGCUGGGCACAGACAAACCCCCAACCCCCCCACCCACCCAGUGAGGUCUUUCACACACCACCAAGACCCUGGGAACACCGAAAAAUUUGUCAUAUAUCAUCCUCAUUUACACACACAGACCCCCCCCCCCCCCCCACACACACACACACACACACACACACACACACACUCUAACACACUCUAACUUUUACAUAACACCACAUCACUAUUCACCUAAAUACCCCCCCCACACACACACACAAAUAUGCUGUAAAAUUACUGUUAUAUCCCAACUUUUACAUCCAACAUCACUCAACACCACUCUUUACCUAAAUGCCCACACACAUGCACACAUACACACACACAUGCACACAAUUCUGUCUCUCCUUCUCACCUUGCUUCAUUAAGUCCACACAUGUGUUAUUUGCAAAGAAUUUCCAAUACCAACACAAAAGAUCAAACAGCAGGAGUAAGAGUGUAACAACACACAUUUCAUACGGAGUCUGUGCAUACUGUAGUGCAUGUGUGUGUGAGUGUGUGUGUGUUUGAGGGAGAGAGAUUUUCUUGUUAAGAUCUUAUUCAACUUUGAGCAUGAAAGGCGGAUCAUUUGCAUAAACUGCAUGCUGUCUGUCUGAGGGUCUUUUUUUGGGCGGGGGGGGUGCAGCAGUGAAAAAAGAUAUGAGGGAACAUGAAAGAAGAGGGAGCAGGAUGGUGCACUGGGGGACUGCAGGAAGAAAGAGGAGGUUUGAAUAAGAGAGGGGGUGAAAAUUGGCAAAGAAAGGGUCUUACCAUGUCUCACAGUGGGAUUAAAAUGUCCAGGAUCUUCUCUGUAUAAUGUGGUGAAUGUGGCAGCAGCAUGGCUGCAGGGCUGAUCUCACGUCAGCUACCGCCUUUACUCCAUCAGAGGAGAGGUGCUUAAACUGAGAUGAUGCAACCAGUAACAGAUGAGUGUUAACAUUUACAGACAAAAUUAUAUCUGACUGCAUACUGGUAUGUGUCGUAUAUGUUACUGAGAUAAUCAUGGUUUCUCAUACUGUGGUGUUUGUCUGAUUUGUUUUAUUAGAAAAGGACCAUCCUGACGCAGACACUCCUGUUCCUCGGUGGAUCUUUGGCAUCAUUUGUGUGUUAAUCAUGAGGAAUCACAUGGAUUCAUGUGUUCGUGCCUCAGUGUAGAAAUCUACUCAACACAUAUGGACUCCCGAUGCAUCUGAACAAAGUUAUUUCCAGACAAUUUGACAUGCUUCAUUUUCCGACUUGUGAUUUUGAAAAAAGAAGAAUGACAACCAUUGAAAUCAAAUGUGCAGAACUCACUGUCACUGUUAUUCUUAUAUAUUUUUAACCCUCAAACAGUAUGAUGGUAUUGAAAAUGAUCAAAUCAAGUGCACUUGAAUUUUUUGCUCUUUACUAAAUAAAAUAAAUGUUUGAAAAAAUG